rnacentral:rRNA from 1 species
CCUACGGGAGGCAGCAGUGAGGAAUAUUGGUCAAUGGGCGCGAGCCUGAACCAGCCAAGUAGCGUGAAGGAUGACUGCCCUACGGGUUGUAAACUUCUUUUAUAAAGGAAUAAAGUGAGGCACGUGUGCCUUUUUGUAUGUACUUUAUGAAUAAGGAUCGGCUAACUCCGUGCCAGCAGCCGCGGUAAUACGGAGGAUCCGAGCGUUAUCCGGAUUGAUUGGGUUUAAAGGGAGCGUAGAUGGGGUGGUAAGUCAGUUGUGAAAGUUUGCGGCUCAACCGUAAAAUUGCAAUUGAUACUGGCAGUCUUGAGUGCAGUUGGGGUAGGCGGAAUUCGUGGUGUAGCGGUGAAAUGCUUAGAUAUCACGAAGAACCCCGAUUGCGAAGGCAGCUUACUAAACUGUGACUGACAUUGAUGCUCGAAAGUGUGGGUAUCAAACAGGAUUAGAUACCCGAGUAGUC